UAACCUGCCCAAGAGAUCGGGAUAACACCUGGAAACAGAUGCUAAUACCGGAUAACAACAGAUGAUGCCUAUCAACUGUUUAAAAGAUGGUUCUGCUAUCACUCUUGGAUGGACCUGCGGUGCAUUAGCUAGUUGGUAGGGUAACGGCCUACCAAGGCGAUGAUGCAUAGCCGAGUUGAGAGACUGAUCGGCCACAUUGGGACUGAGACACGGCCCAAACUCCUACGGAGGCAGCAGCU
rnacentral:rRNA from 1 species